CGGGGAAUAUUGCGCAAUGGGCGAAAGCCUGACGCAGCGACGCCGCGUGAGGGAUGAAGGUUUUCGGAUCGUAAACCUCUGUCAGAAGGGAAGAAACCGCACUGUGCUAAUCAGCAGUGCCUUGACGGUACCUUCAAAGGAAGCACCGGCUAACUCCGUGCCAGCAGCCGCGGUAAUACGGAGGGUGCAAGCGUUAAUCGGAAUUACUGGGCGUAAAGCGCACGUAGGCUGCUUUGUAAGUCAGGGGUGAAAUCCCACGGCUCAACCGUGGAACUGCCUUUGAUACUGCUUAGCUUGAAUCCGGGAGAGGGUGGCGGAAUUCCAGGUGUAGGAGUGAAAUCCGUAGAUAUCUGGAGGAACAUCAGUGGCGAAGGCGGCCACCUGGACCGGUAUUGACGCUGAGGUGCGAAAGCGUGGGGAGCAAACAGG
rnacentral:rRNA from 1 species